rnacentral:rRNA from 1 species
GACGAACGCUGGCGGCGUGCUUAACACAUGCAAGUCGAACGAAGUGGCGAACGGGUGAGUAACGCGUAAUCAACCUGCCCUUCAGAGGGGGACAACAGUUGGAAACGACUGCUAAUACCGCAUACUGAAGGAGGGGAUUGCGUCUGAUUAGCUAGUUGGAGGGGUAACGGCCCACCAAGGCGAUGAUCAGUAGCCGGGCUUAAGGGAUGAACGGCCAAAUUGGGACUGGGAAACGGCCCAGACUCCUACGGGAGGGAGCAGUGGGGAAUUUUCCGAAAAGGACGAAAAGCUGACGGAGCAACGCCGCGGGAGUGAAGACGGCCUUCGGGUUGUAAAGCUCUGUUAAUCGGGACGCGGUACCGGAAUAGAAAGCCACGGCUAACUACGUGCCAGCAGCCGCGGUAAUUC